rnacentral:rRNA from 1 species
UACAGAGGGGGCGAGCGUUGUUCGGAAUUACUGGGCGUAAAGGGCGCGUAGGCGGCCUCUUAAGUCGAACGUGAAAUCCCCGGGCUCAACCCGGGAACUGCGUCCGAUACUGGGAGGCUUGAAUCCGGGAGAGGGAUGUGGAAUUCCAGGUGUAGCGGUGAAAUGCGUAGAGAUCUGGAAGAACACCAAAGGCGAAGGCAGCGUCCUGGCAAGUCACUGACGCUCAGGUGCGAAAGCUAGGGGAGCGAACGGG